UGCACAGGCUUCCUGUCCCCAAACAGCAAUCACCAGGCUGCAAGCUUUGCCUGGCUUCUCUGACCCAAGUUUUCACUUUUUCCUUGCUCCUGCCCCUGGGCAGACCUCCAAGACUCACAGUUUGGCCUGAGGCUCACAUCUCUAACCUCUUCUGGCCACCAGCUUAUAAAACUGGGUGUAAAGAGUCGUUCAUGCUGCUCAUCCUUGCAGGAACCCCCUCAUCCAUAGUCAGCAAGCUCACUGCUUCAGACUCUAACGCCUGGGAAGGACUCAUAGCUCCUGAAUUUUCCUCUUCACACAAAUUAAUCCAUCUGGUUGGAUUAUGAAGUUUAAUUUCCACAAAUGGGAUGGAACAUGGCCACCACCUACAUCAUAGAUAAAAGAUGGGAUCCGUGUUGGCCCGGUAUGUUACUAGCCUGUCUUGGACACUGAUGCACCCUUUUUACAAAAAUAAUCACCUUGCUGCGAUA